rnacentral:rRNA from 1 species
GACGAACGCUGGCGGCGUGCUUAACACAUGCAAGUCGAACGGAGUGGCGAACGGGUGAGUAACACGUGGGUGAUCUGCCUUGCACUUCGGGAUAAGCUUGGGAAACUGGGUCUAAUACCGGAUAGUGCAAGAUGAGCUCGCGGCCUAUCAGCUUGUUGGUGGGGUAAUGGCCUACCACGGCGUCGACGGGUAGCCGGCCUGAGAGGGUGUACGGCCACAUUGGGACUGAGAUACGGCGCAGAGGCCUACGGGGGGCAGCGGUGGGGAGUAUGGCACAAUGGUGGGAAGCCUGAUGCAGCGGCGCCGGGUGGGGGAUGAAGGCCUUCGGGGUGGAAACUCCUUUCGACAGGGACGCGGUACCUGUAUAAGAAGCACCGGCUAACUACGUGCCAGCAGCCGCGGUAAUUC